AUGGCCAUAUCACAUGAAAACACCGGUUCUUGUCUGAUCACCAAAGUUAAGCAGUGUUAAGUCUAGUCAGUACUUAGAUGGGUGACUGCUUUAGAAUACCAGGUGC